UUCUGUAGCAAGGUUAACCGUAUAGGGGAGCCGGAGGGAAACCGAGUCUUAACCGGGCGUUAAGUUGCAGGGUAUAGACCCGAAACCCGGUGAUCUAGCCAUGGGCAGGUUGAAGGUUGGGUAACACUAACUGAAGGACCGAACCGACUAAUGUUGAAAAAUUAGCGGAUGACCUGUGGCUGGGGGUGAAAGGCCAAUCAAACCGGGAGAUAGCUGGUUCUCCCCGAAAGCUAUUUAGGUAGCGCCUCGUGAAUUCAUCUCCGGGGGUAGAGCACUGUUUCGGCCAGGGGGCCAUCCCGGCUUACCAACCCGAUGCAAACUGCGAAUACCGGAGAAUGUUAUCACGGGAGACACACGGCGGGUGCUAACGUCCGUCGUGAAGAGGGAAACAACCCAGACCGCCAGCUAAGGUCCCAAAGUCAUGGUUAAGUGGGAAACGAUGUGGGAAGGCCCAGACAGCCAGGAUGUUGGCUUAGAAGCAGCCAUCAUUUAAAGAAAGCGUAAUAGCUCACUGGUCGAGUCGGCCUGCGCGGAAGAUGUAACGGGGCUAAACCAUGCACCGAAGCUGCGGCAGCGAACGUAUCACUUAAAGCGAUUCAGCGGAUGACGAUUGACGGAGCGAAGCGACGUCAAAGCGUUUUACAACGUCGAGUCGGUU
rnacentral:rRNA from 1 species